ACACAGAAGGGAGGUGGUUCGGCAGAUGUAUGCAUACCGGACGCGUGAGGUGGCUGCGGGCUAGCGGCUCGUCACCACGCUCAGUGCGGUGCCGGACCGGCACGUGAGGGAUACGUGCAGCCGGCCCAAUCCCAAGCAGUCACCCGACCCGCGAGCUGCCGGUACGUCCGGCCGGCUCCUCUCCGGAGGAACCCAGCUCGCGGGUCGUCUGCG
rfam:Streptomyces griseofuscus strain NG1-7 NG1-17_1_1, whole genome shotgun sequence.